rnacentral:rRNA from 1 species
ACUUUCAGCAACGGAUCUCUUGGCUCUCGCAUCGAUGAAGAACGCAGCGAAAUGCGAUAAGUAAUGUGAAUUGCAGAAUUCAGUGAAUCAUCGAAUCUUUGAACGCACCUUGCGCCCCUUGGUAUUCCGAGGGGCAUGCCUGUUUGAGUGUCAUUA